GUAUCCUUUGGGUAGCUCUGUUUUAAUCCUUAACGAGUGUAUGAGAUAUCGUGGGUAACUUCUCCUAGCUGGGGAGCAUUCAUCUCUCUCUAUGUAAAUUUGACAGCGUGGCUUCCAUCCUCACCUGGAUAUCCCUUGUAUUUUCACCAUGUGAAAAUAUAAAUUUUCUGGAUUAACUUAUACAAGUCACAAAAUUCGAGUAUUUAAAAAAACAGUUUUAAUCGUAGAUUCUUUAAAGUCUUUAAUGAUAUUAUAUGAUUUCUUUGUCAGAUGGGCAUAUUGUAUAGUUCUUGUAAACUCUUAUUUUUGGCCGUUUUCAUAUUUUAGUUGACGAUUUUAUAAAGAUAAAUUGCUAAGAUGUUUAUCGUACAAGAAAAUAUUAAAGCCCUUGUUGCAGCUAUUUAAAACUUGUUUUACGGCGAUGUACUUUGUACAAUCGUUCACUGAAGAGGUAAAGAAACUGGACAUCUUAUGGGAUAUGAUGUAACGGUAGCAUGGGUGUCUUGCACACCCACAGAUCGAUUUUACCAGUUGAAAUGGUAUGUAUGGAUAUACAUAUAUUCUAUAUAUCAUAUUGUACAGUACAAAAUACACAGCAUGUCUAGUCUAAUUAUAUUUAAUCAGCGGUGCUAUUAUUCAAUUCCAUGUAUAAAGUGCAUAUCAACACAUUCGAAUAGUUUCCCGGGUUUUCCAAAAGAUGGCGCCAUAUGCAUUAUCCAAGAGGCGUUGGUCGAGUGGCAAAUUUUCGAACUACAUCCAUCAUGAGAUUCUAAAUUGCUGUAUAGCUGCCUACAAGUAUACUCGCGCUAUUAUUGCAUGCUGUUAAUAGUCGACCGAAGUUAUAGAGAUUACAGGAAGAUGACGUUGCAAUAGAUAUCCGUGGCGCGUGACAAAGUAUCAACAUACGUAAAUAAUAUUGUUGGUAACUUUAAAUGUUUCGAGGAAGGUGAAGAAGAUGGUGCUACAUAAAAUUCCGCGAAUGCUUCCACGCUCUACUUCGUUCAGAAUGGCGACAGAAUCGAUGAACCAGUUGUAUGUUCCUUGGAAUUGCACUGUAGUCAACUAAAGUAUCGAAAAGGCCUAAAUUGUCAGCAUAACUGUUAUGGAUAUCAAGUACAAACUAUUUGUUGUUCUACUUUAUAAUCUACAAAUCUAUGCACGGUAUUUCGUAUACAUUAACACCGUACGAGAGUCACGAGAAGGACUCGUUUAUUUCAAACCAAGUGUAAUAUACUCUAUGCCUAUGCAGGAAGCAUGAAUCUCAAGUUCUGUCCCAAUUGAUGUGCCACUGGGUACUGACAGGGUAUGGCUAUCCUCGUACGAGGUCGUAGCCCAAUCGAAGUUCCGCGGCUGCCAGUAAGACUCAGGACGGUUACUAUAGGAACCCAUUGCAAACACUUCUAUUAAAGAUCCCGCGGCACUCGAGGUUUGCAGGCAACCGGUCAGGAAGUAAGGUAGCUAGGCAGGUAGACUUCUAAGUAGUAGCGAGGCAUGUAGGUAUACGCAGAGUUGCCCUCUGAAAUGGAAUGACAUGCAUAUAUGUAAGAAUCACAUAUUCUCAUACAGCUAUAAUAACGUAUACUGUACAUACAGUAAAGAAUAUAGUGAAAAGUUGAUAAGAGUGAAUAAAAAUCGAAGGAUCUUUGCUCUAUAGUAUUGUGUUACUGUAAAUGUAAUAGAAAUAUAAUGUACACGAAUGUGAAGCAAAUGUGAAAAUCCUUAGAACCAAUAAGUUAGGAAACUAAUGAAUUUCUUUAAGCAAAUGGAUAUUUAUCUAGUCAUUUAUAUUCCGAUGACACUUUCAAUGAAUGAUUGUCUGCGAUAUGAAUGACCAACAUUAUAUCCCUUAAGUACUGCAGAGUCAUGAUUCAAAUGGGACAUUUCACAAUUCUAAUAUUUUUUAUUUUCCUCUCUCCGUGCCUUUUUAAACGAUGUCAUUCAAGCUUUUUAUUUUUUAUUUUUUUUUUACAGCUCCAUCUUGUUCUCCACUACGGACACGAUAUCUUGUCUCCCACGCACCCUGCACACGCAAACUUCACUUCACCCCUGGCACACUUGUACUCAGGUACUAUCUAUGUAUAUCUAGGUACAGCCUUUGUAUAUGUAUGUUCCCUCCCCCUUUCAUGGACUUGCUAUAGUAUCUGCUGUGAGGACAGAAGGUACCAUUGCGAAGCGUUACUGAUUCUCGCUACGACUGUACGUAACAUGGCAUUAACUCAUUUCUUGCAAACGUUAGUAACCCGUUGAAAAAUAUUAUUCCAUUUGGUUCAAGGUAAUAGAGAAAAUAUUUAUGUUUCAGACUUUUCAGUAAAAAAUGUUCUGAAUCGAGAACUCAGAAUCGAUUUUAUCAAUGUCACACUGAAGCCACUGUGGACGAAUUUCCGGUCACGCUAUCACAAUCAGCUCCUGAGUUUCUUUCAAGUUUUUCAUUUACAUAAGGCUCUUAUGUACCACGUCUAUAGUACAUAGAGUACAGAUCAGAUGGCCACGUACGAUUGGGCAUAGUACAAAUGAGUGCAACUUCAGUCGGACUGAUUUCCCCGUGGGUCACUUGACUUCCUGAAGUAUCCGGGAGUCUACGGGACCCUUCACCUGCACAAGAGUUUCACUCUCGGUUUGGCUACUGUGGGCUGCAUCCCUUAUUUUCAUGGGGGCUGACGCAGCCCAUCGAGACCAUUUUUAUGGGGUAGUAAACCCAGCGAGGAACCAUGAGAAUUUGCGGUGCGACUAACCGGUAGGAACAAACAAAUUGGUGAAGUAUUCAGUAUGUCAAAUGAACCUGAGAUGAUUUAAUGGUGCAACGUACCAACUUAAAAGUACUAAUAUUUACUAUGAAAUCGUAAUCUUUCUUGUUUCAUAGUUCUUACCAUGUCCUGAAGUGGCAAACAUCAUGGAGUGGCAUACCCAUCUACCGAUCUACCUACCACUCUUGGCUGGGAAUGUGUAUGGGGUAGAACUUAAGGGUGUAGACAGUAGAGUAGCUUACAAAGGACAAUGCGGCGCAUAUGCUGAGCGUAUCAUAGUCGAGCAACAAGCGCGUUUAUUCCCUUGGCACCCCUGGCACACUAUACCGAAGAGAGAGGGUGAGAGAGAAAGAGAGAGAGAGAGAGAGAGAGAGAGAGAGAGAGAGAGAGAGAGACAGAAAAGAGGAGAGAACACAACACGCACGCCCAUCUCAUCCAUCGGCGCCCAUGGGGCCAUGGGGCAUGCAUAUCCCUUAUUCAUAAUCCUCGUUCAAUGCGUUUCGACGCUUUUAAGAUUUUAGAUCCGUCGUGCGUAUCGGGCAGACUUAUAUCAUACACUUAUGUCGUUUGGCAUAGGAUGAUCCUUUGUAGCAGUAAAAGAUGCUGAUAAAGUACUCUCGCUGAUGUAACAGAUAAGAAUUACUCCAUUAGUGAGUAUAGAGAAAAUCUUACAGAAACUUUCUAUGCAAUUACUGUAGUUACUAGAAAGAGAUCAGGUAUCUUGGCAGGUAGAAGAAGGGGUAGAUUCAGUUCGUACUACCCCUUUAAAAAGUUGAUUCUCUCUCAAUUCUAUUUCAGAACCAAUCGAUCAGAAAUUGGAGAGGACCUGGGUGUGCUUCCACCGUACGAUUUAAUUCGAUAUGAAGAUAAUUACUCGUGAAUUCACAUGCUUAUUGAAUUCAUCAAAGAUUACGUCACGGUGCGGUUUCUACUUGGACCACGACACUUAUGGUUAUUAUAGUAUUUCAUGGAAAUGAAUGGGAAAUGAUAAAAAUGGGACUGGCAUACUUUUCCCAUGGCGCACAGACAUUGGGCAUAAAUUCUAAUAUCCCUGUUUCAAGUGUGAUUUUAUACGCACUUUGUGCCUUCUUUUACAGUACUUGGAAAGGAAGGAUCGCGAGUGGGCGAGACCCCCCGCGAAGCGCCGAGUCGUAAAUAUUAUGAGGGUCGAUAUAUUCGCCUGGGAUUUUCGUAUCCCUCAGGGAAUCAAGGCCGAUUCCGCGCCUACGUCCUGCUACCAUCCCGACCUACGUGUACAACUUUCCUACACGUAAGCAGCAGCUACUUUACCACGGGUAGUGUGCGAUUACAUAUGGUCUUGUACAUGGGUCAGAUGCGAAACACGUGUAGCCUGAUGGAAGAAAAUAAUACGGGUCUUAGCAUAAAAGCCAUGAUAAAAUUUUGUAAUUUUAUUUUUUUAAGUUUUUUUUUUCAACUGCAUAGUGAAUGAUAAAAAAUUUGAAAAACGCUAUGAAUGUAUUUGUUCGGCAUUUAUGAAAAUUUUUAUCAAUCAUGGAUAUAUGGAAGAAAUUCUCCAUGGUGUUUCCCUAAGGCAUGUGUGACUUAUGAUUAAAUACAAAUGAUGGUAAUACAUACAAACAAGGGCAAACGAGUAUUUGAGCGGGAUAGAAUAGUCUGAAUUGUACUGGUUGGCUAGAAGGGGGUUCUUACCCUAUGGGGUUCCAUGGGACCCCUACCGAUCUAUGAGCUCUGAUCUCAUCCGGGACAUCCCAUGGGUUCAUCCCAGCCUGACAAAAGAGCAUCUGUGCCAUCCUAAGUCCUCUUCAGGUCCAACCUGUUCGCAACUAUGUUGGCCUGCGCGCAGCAUGAAUUCAUUAUCCGAGUAAUGUAAACAUAUUGCCAAUACAGAGACCACCACUGGAGCUUCACUAUAGAGAUCCGUUCAUUCAUACUAUUCUGUACUAAUAUGUACUCCUAGUAUCACGUGAUAUAAAGUUACUACCGUGACUUUUAUUCAUUCUGACAUUAUACACUAUCAAGUAUCAUAUGAUACUACACUAUUAUUGUGCGCUUCAGUGACUUCGAGCUGAUGCCAGUGUCUUGCUGAACUCGACGUUCUGUAACAGAAUGAUACAAUAUACCGAGAAUCAUUAUACUUCUACAAUAUAAAAUAUAAGGGGUGAAAUAUUUGAAAAAAGACUCGUUAGCACCCCUCCGGAUCCAGUUUAGCAAUUAGAAUACAAUAUACGCCUUAUCACGUGAG